rnacentral:rRNA from 1 species
AGAGUUUGAUUAUGGCUCAGGAUGAACGCUGGCGGCAUGCCUAAUACAUGCAAGUCGAACGAACUACACCAUGAACUUGAAGAGCUUGCUCGGAUUGGAAUUGGAUUCUGUAGUUAGUGGCGGACGGGUGAGUAACACGUGGGUUACCUGCCACACAGUAUGGAAUAACUAUUGGAAACGAUAGCUAAUACCGUAUAUGACCUUCGGGUUGAAAGGAGCGUUUGCUUCGCUGUGUGAUGGGCCUGCGGCGCAUUAGCUAGUUGGUAAGGUAAAGGCUUACCAAGGCGACGAUGCGUAGCCGGACUGAGAGGUCGAUCGGCCACAUUGGGACUGAGACACGGCCCAAACUUCUACGGGAGGCAGCAGUAGGGAAUUUUCCGCAAUGGACGAAAGUCUGACGGAGCAAUGCCGCGUGAGUGAUGAAGGUUUUCGAAUCGUAAAGCUCUGUUGUAAGGGAAGAAUAGCAAGAAUAGGAAAUGAUUCUUGUCUGACGGUACCUUACCAGAAAGCCACGGCUAACUACGUGCCAGCAGCCGCGGUAAU